GCGGCCAUGGUGGAAUUGGUAGACACGCAGCCUUGAGGUGGCUGUGGCGAAAGCUGUGGAAGUUCGAGUCUUCUUGGCCGCACCA
rnacentral:tRNA from 2 species